UCCUAUAUGGUGUAGCGGUUUAACAUUACCGCUUUUCAUAAUGCGGGAGCGCGGUAGCCCGGGGUUCGACUCCCCGUAUGGGAA